GGGUUAAGUCCCGCAACGAGCGCAACCCUUGCCAUCAGUUGCUACGAAAGGGCACUCUGAUGGGACUGCCGGUGACAAACCGGAGGAAGUGGGGAUGACGUCAAGUCCUCAUGGCCCUUAUAGGUGGGGCUACACACGUCAUACAAUGGCCGGUACAAAGGGCAGCAAACCCGCGAGGGGGGAGCCAAUCCAUCAAAGCCGGUCGUAGUCCGGAUCGCAGUCUGCAACUCGACUGCGUGAAGUCGGAAUCGCUAGUAAUCGUGGAUCAGCAUGUCACGGUGAAUACGUUCCCGGGUCUU
rnacentral:rRNA from 1 species